rnacentral:rRNA from 1 species
GACGAACGCUGGCGGCGUGCUUAACACAUGCAAGUCGAACGGAAAGGCCCUGCUUUUGUGUGGUGCUCGCGUGGCGAACGGGUGAGUAACCCGUGAGUCACCUUCCCUUGACUUUGGGAUAACUUCAGGAAACUGGUGCUAAUACCUGCUAGGAGCUCCUGCUGCAUGGUGGGGGUUGGAAAGUUUCGGCGGUUGGGGAUGGACUGGCGGCUUAUCAGCUUGUUGGUGGGGUAGUGGCUUACCAAGGCUUUGACGGGUAGCCGGCCUGAGAGGGGGACCGGCCACAUUGGGACUGAGAGACGGCCCAGACUCCUACGGGAGGCAGCAGGGGGGAAUAUUGCACAAUGGGCGGAAGCCUGAGGCAGAAACGCCGCGUGCGGGAUGAAGGCCUUCGGGUUGGAAACCGCUUUCGCCUGUGACGAAGCGGGAGUGACGGUAAUGGGUAAAGAAGCACCGGCUAACUACGUG